CCUACGGGAGGCAGCAGUGAGGAAUAUUGGUCAAUGGGCGAGAGCCUGAACCAGCCAAGUCGCGUGAAGGAUGACGGCCCUACGGGUUGUAAACUUCUUUUGUCAGGGAGCAAUUGAGUCCACGUGUGGUCUUAGCGAGAGUACCUGAAGAAAAAGCAUCGGCUAACUCCGUGCCAGCAGCCGCGGUAAUAAGGAGGAUGCGAGCGUUAUUCGGAUUUAUUGGGUUUAAAGGGUGCGUAGGCGGAAUAUCAAGUCAGCGGUAAAAAUUCGGGGCUCAACCCGGUAGUGCAGUUGAAACUGAUGAUCUGGAGUGGGCGAGAAGUAUGCGGAAUGCGUGGUGUAGCGGUGAAAUGCAUAGAGAUCACGCAGAACUCCGAUGGCGAAGGCAGCAUACCGGCGCCCAACUGACGCUGAAGCACGAAAGCGUGGGUAUCGAACAGGAUUAGAUACCCGUGUAGUC
rnacentral:rRNA from 1 species